rnacentral:lncRNA from 1 species
CAAAGGUGGAGCCCAGUGCAGGCUGCAGUGCUCAAGGAGCUGUGAGCAGUUGGUUUAGCUGGAAAGGUCAGCAGGGCCUGCUGGGUCAGUCAGGGUGUGAGCCCUAGGCUGCUGACUCAUUUUAGGUGGAGGAGAGAGGAGUCAGAUUUGCAUUUUUAGGACAAUUCGAUUCCCUCAGGCAGCCUUUUGGAGGGUUGAUUGAUGGGGCAGAUACUUGAGGCAGGAUGAAAGCUCUACAGCA